CAGGGAUCUGCACUGGAACCCUUCUGUUUGCAGGACAAAUAUAUAUUUGAUGAAGAUGUGUUGAAAAUGUUUGCAGUUACUGAUCUGCUGAACGAAAAUGACCACUUUUAAACUGAUGAUUGGACUAGAGACCUUUGAGAAAACUUGAAAAUAUUCAUUAAGUUCUCAACAAAAGAAAUUAACUAGUUCUGCUGGUUCUAAAUCCGUGGAAAAUAUUUGAGAAUGUUGUGGUCUUAAAGGUGAAAGGGCUAAGUGAUCGUAAGUGAUCAGGUUUUUUUGUUCAAAAGAGCUUGAUUCAAACAUUUCGAACCCAUACAUUGUCAUUCUGCAGUAUUUCAAACGUGUAAAACAAGUCGCUUUCUUCAUUUAUAAAAUAAAUAAA